rnacentral:tRNA from 1 species
GGUCCCUGGUGGGCCCCGCGGACUUCAAAUCCGUAGCGUCCUGGCAGAUGUCAGGAUGGGUGGGUUCGAUUCCCACACGAU